GUUGGUGUUGCUCAGUGGUAGUGCAUGCUUUGUAAGUAUGAUGUUCUGGGUUCAAACCCCAGCUUCUCCC
rnacentral:tRNA from 1 species